rnacentral:lncRNA from 1 species
AGAGCAAAGCCACCGAUUAUAAAGACACCUUGGAAGAUAGAUUUGAUGAAUACAAAAUCAAAGCGAACGACAUGAAAACGACCAUCACAGAGCACGUGAACAAAUUGAAAGACAACAUGAAAGAAGUCAGAGAAACCGUUGUUGGUCACGUGAAAAAUUUCCGCGAAAAAGCCGACGACCACGUGAACAAAUUGGUGGAAAAGGCCAAAGAAGUGAAAGAAAAAGUAGAAUCCGAAAUCCAAAAGCGAGCCGGGAGAAUUAAUUAACUCUUUCUCGACAGGCCCCUAUUAGCAUAUAACACUGGUGAUAUUUGACUUUUAAAUGCAAUGUAGAUGAAAAUACCACCAUUCGAUUCAGUGAAACGAUAUCUCCUAAUUCCUAUCGACAGUUUUAGUCAAACACAAGUCAAAUUGUAUAGCUAUUUAUGACCUAUUGAGAGGUCAAGCGGUGUCAUAUUUCAUUAUAUUAUUUAAUUGUCUCGAACAAUGUAAACUUGCCAUACCUUUCGCUGAACAUAACUUCGGCCCCUUUGGACUUAUCGUUUUCGCUAUAAUCGUAUUCGAGCCAAGAUCCAAAACACUAUUUAUUUUUGGUUUUUAUAAUGACCAAUAACAAGGCUUAAAUUUUAAAUUUAAUUUAAUACGCCGUUUCGGAGUUUACUCCAUCAUCAGGUUUUAAUUUUUCUCGGACGCGCAAUUUAUGUGCUUGCGGAACCUUGCACGCGAGCACCGAAUAGAAAAUAAACACUUUGAUAUUAUUAGGUUUAUUUUCUAUUCUGUGACGCGAGCAUGCAACGGUUAAAGCGUUGACGUUUAUUAUAGUUUUAACGGUUUUAGAUCGAAGAUUGUAGUUUACUUUUUACCUGAUGAUGGAUUAAACUCCGAAACGUCGUAUUAAAUUAAAUAUUUAAGCCUUGUUAUUGGUCAUUAUAAAAAACAAAAACACUAAAUAUAUCGAUACUAAAUAUGCUAUUGUAAUGUCAGUUCGCCGAUAGUGCAAUCGGGUGCAGGCGAUUUAAUAUAUAUAAGCUACAUAUAGCAAUAUAUUUCGCUUAUUUGUGAUUAUUUUCGUUAAUUUUAGAAUUUCACUGCAGUUUUAAUUUAAAUUCAGUCGUCUAGUGGGCUGCCCAUGCCUGUGGGCUGCCUAUGAGUAUGAUUACAUCUGCAGCGUGAUUCCACAUGCAUCGGGCUUUACGGGUUCUCAUUUUAGCAGUGCAUGCGCGUGCGAGUAAAAACGCGA